rnacentral:rRNA from 1 species
UACGGAGGGGGCUAGCGUUGUUCGGAAUUACUGGGCGUAAAGCGCACGUAGGCGGCUUUGUAAGUUAGAGGUGAAAGCCCGGGGCUCAACCCCGGAACUGCCUUUAAGACUGCAUCGCUUGAAUCCAGGAGAGGUGAGUGGAAUUCCGAGUGUAGAGGUGAAAUUCGUAGAUAUUCGCAAGAACACCAGUGGCGAAGGCGGCUCACUGGCCCGGUACUGACGCUGAGGCACGAAAGCGUGGGGAGCAAACAGG